ACUAUUUGCUUAGUUGCAUACCCUUUUGGUUAUAUAUCAUCUUUUGUACUUUGAUGAUUAGAGAUGUAUAAAGGAAGAAUAUAAAGAGUUUCUAUUUUGGAGAAAAUGUGAUGUAAAAAGAGAAGAAAUUAUGAAAAGAAUGUAAUGUGAAUGUAAAUGUAAGAGUUGUAUGUAUGUAUGUGAUUAAAAGUUAAUAAUUAUGCUUGUAUGGAUGUUUAGUUUAGAAUCUUUCACUUUUAGCUACCGCU
rnacentral:lncRNA from 1 species